GAUGAACGCUGGCGGCGUGCUUAACACAUGCAAGUCGAACGGUGACGACGGAGCUUGCUCCGUCUGAUCAGUGGCGAACGGGUGAGUAACACGUGAGCAACCUGCCCCGGACUCCGGGAUAACAGCUGGAAACAGCUGCUAAUACCGGAUACGAGCUGCGAAGGCAUCUUCAGCAGCUGGAAAGAAUUUCGGUCCGGGAUGGGCUCGCGGCCUAUCAGCUAGUUGGUGAGGUAACGGCUCACCAAGGCGUCGACGGGUAGCCGGCCUGAGAGGGUGACCGGCCACACUGGGACUGAGACACGGCCCAGACUCCUACGGGAGGCAGCAGUGGGGAAUAUUGCACAAUGGGCGCAAGCCUGAUGCAGCAACGCCGCGUGAGGGACGACGGCCUUCGGGUUGUAAACCUCUUUUAGCAGGGAAGAAGCGAAAGUGACGGUACCUGCAGAAAAAGCGCCGGCUAACUACGUGCCAGCAGCCGCCGUAACAC
rnacentral:rRNA from 1 species